UACGUAGGGGGCAAGCGUUGUCCGGAUUUAUUGGGCGUAAAGAGCGUGUAGGCGGUUUUACAAGUCCGCUGUGAAAACUCGAGGCUCAACCUCGAGCUGUCGGUGGAAACUGUAAGGCUAGAGUCCGGAAGAGGAGAGUGGAAUUCCUGGUGUAGCGGUGAAAUGCGCAGAUAUCAGGAAGAACACCCGUGGCGAAGGCGGCAUCCUGGACCAUUACUGACGCUGAGGCGCGAAAGCGUGGGGAGCAAACAGG
rnacentral:rRNA from 1 species